rnacentral:lncRNA from 1 species
CGAAAAGAGCUGUGGGCUUAUCACGAGAAGGAGGAAGGAAGUGAGCAGAAAGAAGCACAGGAGGCCUCACUCUCCUCAGCCUAAAGAGAGAAAACUCCAGGGAACAGAAUGGAUUGUGGCAAGACAGUAUGAGAUCUUCAUGAUUCUGGACCAUAAGGAUUCCAAAUAGGCUGUUCACUUAUGAGUAGGCCUGUAACACGGACGUGUGAGAAUAAACGCCAGAGAAAAAUUUUUGGUAAGUAAUGUACUUUCAAUUUUAAACUUUCAGAGUGUUUCUAUGCACAUGAAUGAAUCAAGAGCCAGUGGAUGGUUAAGAAAAUGCUUUUCACAGAGCCCUUUAAAAUUUAACAGGUGCCAAAGAAAUUCUACCAAAGAAGCUGAAGUGCAUUUUAAGUGUGUAUUAUCUUCAGUGUUAUUGCCUGAUACAAGGACAGAAUAUGAGACCAAGUAUCUCUAUCCAGGGAAUGCAUAAAUUCCAACUCUGGGUUAUAUUUCAUUAUGCUCCAGAAAUAUCCUGGAUGAUUAAAGUAAUUCAUUGUAAAAAAAAUGCACCAAUUCCUACAGAUUUUUGGUUUUCAUAUGACAUAACAAAAAACUUGAAGUAAUGAGUUGUACUGUGAUUUUAUUACAUCAACCUACUACUGGUUGUUAUAUGUCAUG